UCAGUCGACUCCUACGGGGAGGCAGCAGUGGGGAAUAUGCACAAUGGGGGAAACCCUGAUGCAGCCAUGCCGCGUGUGUGAAGAAGGCCUUCGGGUUGUAAAGCACUUUCAGUAGGGAGGAAGGUAGUGUAGUUAACACCUGCAUUAUUUGACGUUACCUACAGAAGAAGCACCGGCUAACUCCGUGCCAGCAGCCGCGGUAAUACGGAGGGUGCGAGCGUUAAUCGGAAUUACUGGGCGUAAAGCGCAUGCAGGCGGCCUGUUAAGUCAGAUGUGAAAGCCCGGGGCUUAACCUCGGAAUUGCAUUUGAAACUGGCAGGCUAGAGUCUUGUAGAGGGGGGUAGGAAUUUCAGGUGUAGCGGUGAAAUGCGUAGAGAUCUGAAGGAAUACCAGUGGCGAAGGCGGCCCCCAUGGACAAAGACUGACGCUCAGAUGCGAAAGCGUGGGGAGCAAACAGGAUUAGAUACCCCUGGUAG
rnacentral:rRNA from 1 species